CAAGCAGGACGGGUGGCCGCUCCGGGCAACCGGGGAGGAAAGUCCGAGCUCCUCCGGGCAAGACGCUGGGUAACACCCAGGAGGGGUGACCCUACGGAAAGUACCACAGAAACAUACCGCCAGCGGCCAGUUUGUGUCCUUGUGGCACAGGCCGGUGCGGGCAAGGGUGAAAUGGCGAGGCAAGAGCUCACCAGCGGUCGGGAGACCGGCCGGCUGGGCAAACCCCGUCUGGAGCAAGACCAAAUAGGAGGACGCAAGGUGCCCGGCCUGUCCUCGGGUUGGUCGCUUGAGGUUGCAGGUAACUGCCGCCCUAGACAAAUGGCUACCACCCCGGUCCUGGCAGAAGAAUAGCCUCGGCUGUAAACUGCCGGGCCGGGGAACAGAACUCGGCUUACAGGCCUGCUUGGCCC
rnacentral:RNase_P_RNA from 1 species